UGCCGCCUCCCGCAGACCCCUCCGCCCGGUCCGGUGCCCCGUGCGGUCUGUCUGACGGAGCCCCCGCUCGAGGGCUCGCCUCGGGGCUAGUGCGUACUUCAUCACACCACAGCCUCUACCCGCUCUCUGCAGUCACGCAUACGGUUUGGGAAGGUUCUAUCAGUUACAGCCUUCUGUAGAGAGCUUCUUGUUUUACUUCGUGGACUGAGAUUAUUAAGAGACAGAGUGAUAAAUGAGCUGGAGGAACUAAAGGCUGGUCACUCCCCACCUGAGGUGCAGGUGUUUCCUGAAGCCCUGCUCACAUCCCCAAAUAGAGCUGGCUCCUCUGUCAUCUUGUUCAUGUACAGCAGUUCCAGGGGAUUACACAAACCCUGAUCUGUGGAACUGAGAAAUCCUGAUUUGCUACAGCUUUCUCUGGAUUCAAACGUGGGAUAACAGUAAUUGGCCAUGAUGCUUUUUUCGCCCACAGGACUCUUACAAGUUAUAGUUCAAAACUAAAGAUGCAGGUCACUUCAGAGGUCCACAGUUUUUCUCUUUCUGUUCAAAAACAUGGAGGUGUGACUACCAUAAGAAUUUUGAACACUUUGUAAGACAUCAUUUAUGCACCUAUAUUGCUAUUAUUAGCAGUUGAGUUUCCUUCUCAUCUUCAGCAGAGAUUGGUUUUUAAAAAAGUGAAACAAAAUAGCUACAAAGCCUGGAUUCUAGCAAGUCUCUUCCUUAACACAUAACCCAUGACUUCCUUUCCCCUUCCCUUUCCCCUUCCCUUUCCCCUUCCCUUUCCCCUUCCCUUUCCCCUUCCCUUCCCUC
ensembl:lncRNA